GUUUUCAACUUUGCUUUUGGUGGCACUUGUUCUUACUUCUUUCCUCAUUCCAGCCACUAUUGCUGGUUCAGAGUUUUGUGAUUCAAAGUGCAACUUUAGGUGUUCAAAGGCAGGACGACAGGACAGAUGCUUAAAGUAUUGUGGAAUAUGUUGUGCAGAGUGUCAUUGUGUUCCUUCUGGAACAAGUGGAAACAAAGAUGAGUGUCCUUGCUAUAGGGACAAGAAAAACUCUAAGGGAGGGCCUAAAUGUCCUUAAAUUUACUCAAUCUUUUCCCCUAAUUGUUGUUUGUCAAACACAAAUAUAGAGGCACAAAUCCUUGAUAUGCCAUGUUUGUCAUGAAAUAAGGCUGAUUACAAUAAUAAUAAUAAAAACCAAUAAG
rnacentral:misc_RNA from 1 species